rnacentral:misc_RNA from 1 species
GGGCUCGAUUUGGUCUGGGCGCUGAGGUUGGGAUUAGCACAAGUCGAAUCCAUGCUCGGGGUCCAGUAGGAGUUGAAGGAUUAUUAACGACCAGAUGGAUUCUUAGGGGAAGUGGGCAAGUCGUGGAUGGUGAUAAAGGGGUUGUCUACACACACAGGGACAUCAAGAUUGAGUCUCAACUCGCCAACUGAUUCCAGCCUUAAGAAUUCGCGCUGGCCAUUCAUGUAUAAAAUAAGUGUUAUUUUCUUCUCCCUUCGAGUUUUAGUGUGAUACUUGCAGAAAUAAUGUGAUUUAAUUAGAGUUUAGAAGCGA